rnacentral:rRNA from 1 species
GCUCAGGAUGAACGCUAGCUACAGGCUUAACACAUGCAAGUCGAGGGGCAGCAUGGUCUUAGCUUGCUAAGGCCGAUGGCGACCGGCGCACGGGUGAGUAACACGUAUCCAACCUGCCGUCUACUCUUGGACAGCCUUCUGAAAGGAAGAUUAAUACAAGAUGGCAUCAUGAGUCCGCAUGUUCACAUGAUUAAAGGUAUUCCGGUAGACGAUGGGGAUGCGUUCCAUUAGAUAGUAGGCGGGGUAACGGCCCACCUAGUCUUCGAUGGAUAGGGGUUCUGAGAGGAAGGUCCCCCACAUUGGAACUGAGACACGGUCCAAACUCCUACGGGAGGCAGCAGUGAGGAAUAUUGGUCAAUGGGCGAGAGCCUGAACCAGCCAAGUAGCGUGAAGGAUGACUGCCCUAUGGGUUGUAAACUUCUUUUAUAAAGGAAUAAAGUCGGGUAUGCAUACCCGUUUGCAUGUACUUUAUGAAUAAGGAUCGGCUAACUCCGUGCCAGCAGCCGCGGUAAUACGGAGGAUCCGAGCGUUAUCCGGAUUUAUUGGGUUUAAAGGGAGCGUAGAUGGAUGUUUAAGUCAGUUGUGAAAGUUUGCGGCUCAACCGUAAAAUUGCAGUUGAUACUGGAUAUCUUGAGUGCAGUUGAGGCAGGCGGAAUUCGUGGUGUAGCGGUGAAAUGCUUAGAUAUCACGAAGAACUCCGAUUGCGAAGGCAGCCUGCUAAGCUGCAACUGACAUUGAGGCUCGAAAGUGUGGGUAUCAAACAGGAUUAGAUACCCUGGUAGUCCACACGGUAAACGAUGAAUACUCGCUGUUUGCGAUAUACAGCAAGCGGCCAAGCGAAAGCGUUAAGUAUUCCACCUGGGGAGUACGCCGGCAACGGUGAAACUCAAAGGAAUUGACGGGGGCCCGCACAAGCGGAGGAACAUGUGGUUUAAUUCGAUGAUACGCGAGGAACCUUACCCGGGCUUAAAUUGCAGAUGAAUUACGGUGAAAGCCGUAAGCCGCAAGGCAUCUGUGAAGGUGCUGCAUGGUUGUCGUCAGCUCGUGCCGUGAGGUGUCGGCUUAAGUGCCAUAACGAGCGCAACCCUUGUUGUCAGUUACUAACAGGUCAUGCUGAGGACUCUGACAAGACUGCCAUCGUAAGAUGUGAGGAAGGUGGGGAUGACGUCAAAUCAGCACGGCCCUUACGUCCGGGGCUACACACGUGUUACAAUGGGGGGUACAGAGGGCCGCUACCACGCGAGUGGAUGCCAAUCCCCAAAACCUCUCUCAGUUCGGACUGGAGUCUGCAACCCGACUCCACGAAGCUGGAUUCGCUAGUAAUCGCGCAUCAGCCACGGCGCGGUGAAUACGUUCCCGGGCCUUGUACACACCGCCCGUCAAGCCAUGGGAGCCGGGGUACCUGAAGUGCGUAACCGCGAGGAGCGCCCUAGGGUAAAA